UACAGAGGGUGCAAGCGUUAAUCGGAAUUACUGGGCGUAAAGGGCGCGUAGGUGGUUGAUUAAGUCAGAUGUGAAAACCCUGGGCUUAACUUAGGAAUUGCAUUUGAAACUGAUCGACUAGAGUUUGGGAGAGGGAAGUGGAAUUUCCGGUGUAGCGGUGAAAUGCGUAGAUAUCGGAAGGAACAUCAGUGGCGAAGGCGACUUCCUGGCCCGAUACUGACACUGAGGCGCGAAAGCGUGGGGAGCAAACAGG
rnacentral:rRNA from 1 species